rnacentral:rRNA from 1 species
CGCGUAGGCGGCUUAGCAAGUCAGAUGUGAAAGCCCCGGGCUUAACUCGGGAAUUGCAUCUGAAACUGCUUUGCUCGAGUCCUGGAGGGGGUAGUGGAAUUCCCAGUGUAGCGGUGAAAUGCGUAGAUAUUGGGAGGAACACCUGCGGCGAAGGCGGCUACCUGGACAGUGACUGACGCUGAGGCGCGAAAGCUAGGGGAGCGAACGGGAUUAGAUACCCCGGUAGUCCUAGCCGUAAACGAUGGACACUUGGUGUUGGGGGUAUUGAGUCCCCCGGUGCCGGAGUUAACACGUUAAGUGUCCCGCCUGGGGAGUACGGUCGCAAGACUGAA